rnacentral:lncRNA from 1 species
AUGUCUUUCAACAGCAGCCGUCCGAUUGGUCAUACGGGAGCAGGGGCGUUCCUCUUCCGAUGGUCGCGGGCGCCAUGUUGGUUGCGGGCGCCAUCUUCCCGUCGUUCCGGGGGCGGGGACUCAGAGCACAUAAGUCGAGGCGGCGGCGUUCUCUUCUUCGCUGGCGGGAUGUUUCGCUUGAAGUUGGAGAUUUUCCGGAUGGUACUGUAUCUAUCCUUCCCUAUUGCUAUGUUCUGGUUUGCAGGCGAGAUGCAGAUUUUUCAAGAAUCUUUAAAUAAACCAAAGAUGUUUCCACCUGAUAAGGAUUAUACGAGAAUGGAAUUGGAAAGCUUCAAGGAGUGGAUGAGGAAGAAGCAUGAGGCGGAGCGGUUGCAGGCAGGCAAAGACUGA